AUUGAACGCUGGCGGCAUGCCUUACACAUGCAAGUCGAACGGCAGCACGGGAGCAAUCCUGGUGGCGAGUGGCGAACGGGUGAGUAAUAUAUCGGAACGUGCCCAGUCGUGGGGGAUAACGUAGCGACAGCUACGCUAAUACCGCAUACGAUCUAUGGACGAAAGCGGGGGAUCGCAAGACCUCGAGCGAUUGGAGCGGCGGAUAUCAGAUUAGGUAGUUGGUGAGGUAAAGGCUCACCAAGCCGACGAUCUGUAGCUGGUCUGAGAGGACGACCAGCCACACUGGGACUGAGACACGGCCCAGACUCCUACGGGAGGCAGCAGUGGGGAAUUUUGGACAAUGGGCGCAAGCCUGAUCCAGCAAUGCCGCGUGCAGGAUGAAGGCCUUCGGGUUGUAAACUGCUUUUGUACGGAACGAAACGGCGAGCUCUAAUACAGUUUGCUAAUGACGGUACCGUAAGAAUAAGCACCGGCUAACUACGUGCCAGCCGCCGCCGUAA
rnacentral:rRNA from 1 species